AACCGAUGAUGUGAUGAUUCUGCCAAAUGAAGUAAAGUGAUAUCACCUAAAAAGCCGUUCCAUUUUGAUUCUGAGGUU
ensembl:snoRNA